rnacentral:tRNA from 1 species
GAAUUGAAAGCUAAAAUUAAAGCAUUGGUCUUGUAAACCAAAGAUAGGGGUAUCUCUCAAUUCU